rnacentral:lncRNA from 1 species
UGUCUUCCCCACACUACAGACAGUGACAACCUAACGACGACGUCUGUCGAGGUUAACAUCGCCGUUACUGGCUUUAAACGCAACAUUCUACCAACCAGGAUGACUGUACUGACACGGUUGUACCAAGCUGUCGUCUGCUUGCUGCUCGCCAUGGCCCUUGAAUGCCAGACACAUCCACCAACACCAACUGGCUGAGCAUCACAGAGAGUGCGCCAGGACCGGUGAACGGUGUGACCCAGCUGUUUGUUGCUCUUCAGAUGACAUGUGCCAUGUUGUUAGGACAGCAAAUAGAAGGAUCUCUAUUAUCUGCACUAAGGUGAAUCCAAGGCACAUUAAAGCAUUGAGGGCCGCAAAAAGUCAUCGUCGAAGUUUACAGAAUAACAAGUGAAUAAUGUCGCCUGCUACAAAUGGCCAUUGGAUGCUUGAUGUACCCAAAUAAGUAACAACAACAGGGUGCGUCUGCCUGCUGUCCGAUUCUGGGAUGUUAACGAAUCGCACGCGUAGAAGAUCACCGAGUUCAAAGAUGUCUUUAAAUUUAUUGUAUUUCUGUGCAUUGAGGUAUUAUCACUGUAUUUAUCAAGUGUUCUGUUCUAUUGAAGAAAUUAAACGAAAAAAUAAAUUCCACUGAAAGAAAACUGGACUUAUGUGACUUUUGUCACUGAUGGGUAUGUGUCUGACAAAAUAGAAAAUUACUCAGCACUGGAGCGCAUACUGUAAAACAUAA